CUUGUGUCUUCAACCUUUCAUUUCCUUCAAUCAGAAAGAGUUAAAAAAAUCGAUUGUUCAACCUAGUCUGUUUUGAAUCAUUUCUGUUUUCUGAUUUUGCCAUUUUGGUCGAUUGCUAAAACUGAAAAUUUGUUUUUGGAAAAUGGGUUGAUGAAACUAGUAAAAAUAACUUUUUCUGGUGUUCACAAUUUGUAGCAACCUGUUUUUCUCAUCUAAAGCCCAAAGAAACAAAAACAAGUUCUUUUUAGUAAGAUAGUUUUGACUAUCAGACAGCAAAAACCAAAAACAAUAUCCAUAUCAAAUGGUUUCUUUAUCGCCCUUUUGUUUUGAAGCUAUUACUUUUUGUUAUGCUGACUCACUGGUCCUAAUCCCAUAUUUAGUUCUGUGCAAUUAAUAAUUGUCAUUGACAAGGCAGUCCUUUCCGCGUUUACUGCUUCCAGAUUCGAGCAUUGGAGAAAAG
rnacentral:misc_RNA from 1 species